rnacentral:lncRNA from 1 species
CUGCGGGGCAUUUGGAAACAAGGCAUCAAGCACCAGAUGCCCCAUAAAACACUGGGGUGCCACCCUCCUCCCCUUGGCCUGGGCUCCAAGGGGCUGAAGGAGAACGUGGAGCAAUGGAGUCAGCAGGACCAGCGGCACCAGGCUGAGCCGUUGAACCAGGCUGAGAGGGAGAAGGUAGAGAGACAAAGGCAAGAAGCAGAGCAGAGGAAGGCCCUGCUCCACAGGUUCUCCAGGAGACCCCGAGAGGGGCAGAAGGGCACCUGGAAGGAAGGCAUAGAAUCUUGGGAUUAUGUGAGGUGGGCUGGUUCAUGUGUGAAGGUCCUUGGUGGUCACUCCUGAAAUACAUACCAUCCUCAGAGAAGAACAGACCACUGUCUUUCGUGACACAUCAUCCCACACUGGCCAUCCCCACUCAGGAGCUGCCACUGUGAUUCUCCAGCAGCAGGACUCCUA